GGUUGAUAUUCCUGUACCACCUAUAAUCGUUUUAAUCGAUGGGGGGACGCAGUAGGAUAGGCGAAGCGUGCGAUUGGAUUGCACGUCUAAGCAGUAAGGCUGGGUAUUAGGCAAAUCCGGUACUCGUUAAGGCUGAGCUGUGAUGGGGAGAAGACAUUGUGUCUUCGAGUCGUUGAUUUCACACUGCCGAGAAAAGCCUCUAGAUAGAAAAUAGGUGCCCGUACCGCAAACCGACACAGGUAGUCAAGAUGAGAAUUCUAAGGUGAGCGAGCGAACUCUCGUUAAGGAACUCGGCAAAAUGACCCCGUAACUUCGGGAGAAGGGGUGCUCUUUAGGGUUAACGCCCAGAAGAGCCGCAGUGAAUAGGCCCAAGCGACUGUUUAUCAAAAACACAGGUCUCUGCUAAACCGUAAGGUGAUGUAUAGGGGCUGACGCCUGCCCGGUGCUGGAAGGUUAAGAGGAGUGGUUAGCUUCUGCGAAGCUACGAAUCGAAGCCCCAGUAAACGGCGGCCGUAACUAUAACGGUCCUAAGGUAGCGAAAUUCCUUGUCGGGUAAGUUCCGACCCGCACGAAAGGCGUAACGAUUUGGGCACUGUCUCAACGAGAGACUCGGUGAAAUCAUAGUACCUGUGAAGAUGCAGGUUACCCGCGACAGGACGGAAAGACCCCGUGGAGCUUUACUGUAGCCUGAUAUUGAAAUUCGGCACAGCUUGUACAGGAUAGGUAGGAGCCUUUGAAACGUGAGCGCUAGCUUACGUGGAGGCGCUGGUGGGAUACUACCCUAGCUGUGUUGGCUUUCUAACCCGCACCACUUAUCGUGGUGGGAGACAGUGUCAGGCGGGCAGUUUGACUGGGGCGGUCGCCUCCUAAAAGGUAACGGAGGCGCUCAAAGGUUCCCUCAGAAUGGUUGGAAAUCAUUCAUAGAGUGUAAAGGCAUAAGGGAGCUUGACUGCGAGACCUACAAGUCGAGCAGGGUCGAAAGACGGACUUAGUGAUCCGGUGGUUCCGCAUGGAAGGGCCAUCGCUCAACGGAUAAAAGCUACCCCGGGGAUAACAGGCUUAUCUCCCCCAAGAGUUCACAUCGACGGGGAGGUUUGGCACCUCGAUGUCGGCUCAUCGCAUCCUGGGGCUGUAGUCGGUCCCAAGGGUUGGGCUGUUCGCCCAUUAAAGCGGUACGCGAGCUGGGUUCAGAACGUCGUGAGACAGUUCGGUCCCUAUCCGUCGUGGGCGUAGGAAAUUUGAGAGGAGCUGUCCUUAGUACGAGAGGACCGGGAUGGACAUACCUCUGGUGUACCAGUUGUCGUGCCAACGGCAUAGCUGGGUAGCUAUGUGUGGACGGGAUAAGUGCUGAAAGCAUCUAAGCAUGAAGCCCCCCUCAAGAUGAGAUUUCCCAACUUCGGUUAUAAGAUCCCUCAAAGAUGAUGAGGUUAAUAGGUUCGAGGUGGAAGCAUGGUGACAUGUGGAGCUGACGAAUACUAAUCGAUCGAAGACUUAAUCAA
rnacentral:rRNA from 1 species